rnacentral:rRNA from 1 species
CCUACGGGAGGCAGCAGUGAGGAAUAUUGGUCAAUGGACGAGAGUCUGAACCAGCCAAGUAGCGUGAAGGAUGACUGCCCUAUGGGUUGUAAACUUCUUUUAUAAAGGAAUAAAACGAGGCACGUGUGCCUUUUUGCAUGUACUUUAUGAAUAAGGAUCGGCUAACUCCGUGCCAGCAGCCGCGGUAAUACGGAGGAUCCGAGCGUUAUCCGGAUUUAUUGGGGUUAAAGGGAGCGUAGAUGGGUUGUUAAGUCAGUUGUGAAAGUUUGCGGCUCAACCGUAAAAUUGCAAUUGAUACUGGCAGUCUUGAGUACAGUUGAGGUAGGCGGAAUUCGUGGUGUAGCGGUGAAAUGCUUAGAUAUCACGAAGAACCCCGAUUGCGAAGGCAGCUUACUAAACUGUGACUGACAUUGAUGCUCGAAAGCGUGGGUAGCAAACAGGAUUAGAUACCCUUGUAGUC